rnacentral:rRNA from 1 species
AACGAACGCUGGCGGCAGGCCUAACACAUGCAAGUCGAACGAGAAGCUCUCCUUCGGGGGAGUGGAAAGUGGCAGACGGGUGAGUAACGCGUGGGAACGUACCCUUUGGUUCGGAACAACUCCGGGAAACUGGAGCUAAUACCGGAUAAGCCCUACGGGGGAAAGAUUUAUCGCCGAAGGAUCGGCCCGCGUCGGAUUAGCUUGUUGGUGAGGUAACGGCUCACCAAGGCGACGAUCCGUAGCUGGUCUGAGAGGAUGAUCAGCCACACUGGGACUGAGACACGGCCCAGACUCCUACGGGAGGCAGCAGUGGGGAAUAUUGGACAAUGGGCGCAAGCCUGAUCCAGCCAUGCCGCGUGAGUGAUGAAGGCCCUAGGGUUGUAAAGCUCUUUCGCCAGGGACGAUAAUGACGGUACCUGGAUAAGAAGCCCCGGCUAACUUCGUGCCAGCAGCCGCGGUAAAAC